GUGAACCUUCAGCAUGAACCCCCCCAACCCCCACCCCGCAAUGACGGCCCGAACUUGGCCUCCCCCGACUUGGGGACUGGCGCCCCGUGUGUAGCGGGGCUUCUGCAGAACUUCCUACUCGCAUUUCACUUACCAACUCUGAAGUGGUAAAACCACUCUGUCCUCCCCUGCAAGUCACUUGGAAGAAUUAAGAUACAGAAAUACAAGCAGGUGCCUCAAAAUGUGACAGUGCUAAUGACUGAAAAUAGAGGGAUUUGCUUCCCCCCAUGAGGAGCAUCAGCUUGGAGAAGGGCUCAAGAAGGCAUAAAGUGCUUCACUCUGACACAGUCUUUCAUCUGAAAGCAGAUUCUGUGGAAGAAAGAGGAUUAACUGCUCCAGUGUGGGAAACUAUCUGUGUGGCUGGGAGCUACAAGUAAAGGCGAGCGAGGCGGAGCUGUCACGAAUUUACUUUCAUCAGACUUCUGAACCGAAAACCACUUCCCUUUCCCCCUUGAAACAAACUAUAUAAGAUCAAUUCUUAAUGAUCUUAAUGGCAAACAAU
rnacentral:lncRNA from 1 species